AGAGUUUGAUCAUGGCUCAGGAUGAACGCUGGCGGCGUGCCUAAUACAUGCAAGUCGUGCGGAAAGGCCACUUCGGUGGUACUCGAGCGGCGGACGGCAGAGUAACGCGUAGGAACAUACCCCAAACUGAGGCAUAACUGCUCGAAAGAGCAGCUAAUACCGCAUGUGAUCUUCGGAUUAAAGCUUCGGCGGUUUGGGAAUGGCCUGCGUCCGAUUAGCUAGUUGGUGAGGUAAAUGCUCACCAAGGCUUCGAUCGGUAGCUGGUCUGAGAGGAUGAUCAGCCUGACUGGAACUGAGAACGGUCCAGACUCCUACGGGUGGCAGCUGUAGGGAAUUUUCCACAAUGGGCGAAAGCCUGAUGGAGCAACGCCGCGUGCAGGAUGAAUGCCUUCGGGUUGUAAACUGCUUUUAUUAGUGAAGAAUAUGACGGUAACUAAUGAAUAAGGGUCGGCUAACUACGUG
rnacentral:rRNA from 1 species